GAGGGAAGAGUGCGCCACAGCGAGCGAACCCCCUUUCUGGCAGCGAGAGCGGACAGAGGCAGCUGCAGAAAUAUCUCCCUCGUCACCCCCUUUCUCUCCCUCGUCUCUUCCCAUCCCGCUCCUCUCCUCCAUGCCGCCGCCGCCGCUGCUUCCUCCCUCCCUCUCGGCCGCCUGUCUCCCCCGCCGGCUGGCGCAGCUCCUCGCGUCGCCUUCCUCUCCUCUUCAUGCGCGGCGGCGUCUCGUCAUCCCCAGCCACCGCCCAUCCCCAGCCCCCACCCUAGCCUCCUCCCGCACGAACCCUAGCAGAGAGAGAAUAUGAGAGGGAGAGAGAGAAGGAAGGAGAGGGGAGGAGGGAGAAAGAGAGAGGAAAGAGGGGAGGGAGGUGUGGCGGCCGGCGUCGGCCUGCACCGGCGAGGUCGGGCGCGACCUGGCGGUUGGCGGCGUCUCGAUCCGUUCCUGGAUCGGGAGCUGCGAGGAGGCUGGGGCUCGGGCGCGAUGCACGGGAGGCUGCACCCCGCCUCCAUCUCCACGCGUGCAGCGGCGACCCCGGGAGGAGCUCGAGCCGCAGCGGUGGUCCACGGCGCCGGCGUCGGCAGGAGGAGCGUGGGCCGCAGAGACGGCCGGCUCCGUCCGUCUUUCGCGCUGCCGUCCAUCCACCCGAGCGAUCAGUCCGCACGUCCUCGCCUCCGUCCUCUCACGCACGCCCUCGUGUCCGGAUAUUUGCUUUCAGUCACGGAUUCUUGAGGAAAACAGGAAAACAGGUAAUAUAUAUGAUUAGUGUGUGGGUGACCGUUGAUUCCUACACCGAGUUGUGUUGCUGUACAAAUAGCCUCUCUUUUUGGUGGUGACACGGUGUCCCUUGCAGUUUUUUCAUGUGCAGGUUCAGCAGCAGGCAAUGCUCAAGACAGAGUUGGGUGCACAUCAUAUAUAUACAUAUGUUGUCGCAUCUUAAUAAACGGAGAUGAGCAGAAGCAGAGAUGAGAUAUCUAUCCGACUGUCAUCCUUCCCAGACUUGGGUCUGUCAUCUCUGUCAGCGUCCGCUUCCGCUUCCUUAGUUGGUUGUCGCUUCUUUGUACACUGCUGUAGUUUAGGGAUCGUAAUAUAUUUUCCAUGGAUAUAAUUGAAUACGACACUCAGUUUGCUAUAUAAUUUGUUCAGUUCUCUCUCAUAGCGAUUCAUACAUAAUAUUAUGCAUAAUGGUCCCAUUUUAAGUAGAAUAUAACCACUGGAUUAUUCAAACUUUGCUCGUGUUUCUCAGGGCACCAUAACUCUAAUCUGACAUGAGCAGUGCAACCACGACAGUGGGCAGUGGAAUCACAAGAUAGAGAUAGACACAAGUAGAAUAUAACUUGUCAUAUUUCUACAAUGACCACACUACUUAUGGUUCCGGAAGAGAAGGUAUCAGUGAUAGUGGGCCUGGUGAUGAGGGCAUCAAUACAAAGAGAUUAAUUGACAACUCUGUUUUUGAUAGGUUGUACAAAUAUACAAGGUAGUACUGUUUCCUUUUAUGUUUAAAUAGCUUUGUGAGCACAACUAUAUGAAAAUUCUGCGAUUCAUGGUGGAAGCUGGCAUCUUUGUUUUCCUGACCGAAAAUACUUAGUUUCAUGCCUCCAUGGUAUUAUUUAGAGGACAAUCCGAUGAGAGAUUCCUACUUAGCUAACUAAUAUAUAGCGUUUGAUGGUACUGUCUGAUGUUGUAAAUACAAAAUAUCCUGCAGGAGCAUUAUUUUUAUUUUGAAUUUUUAUUGUUUGAGCCUCUUUUACAUAUUAAGUGUAAUAUCACAGACUUUCUUCUUUCAGAGUUAACUGGCCAUGCUCAACCAUGUCUACUCUGCUCUUGUGCUCACCAUUAUAUAUUUUUAGACCUUAACCAUUUGAUUAAGGAGGAGAGGUGUGUCAAAUAAACUCCCCUGUUCAAAGCUGAAUCCAAACACAUGUGGUCUCCUUUUGAAAGUGAUUACAUCUGUCAAGCUCUUCAAUACCAAUGUGGACAUAUCGCCACUGAUUUUCCACCAUCAAGCUAGCCUACCUGCACAUCAUGCAAGGCUCACAGCUCAGUGCUGCAAUAGCUAUGUUGUUUCCCCACAUCAACCAUGCGGUCGUUACUAAAGCUUAGUUCCUGAAUUUGUACGUGCUCCGUUGCGCACAAGAAAGUAGUGGCUAUUUAUUUGCUUAAACAAUAUGUCCAGCCACCAAUUUCUGCAUGUCCUGCUAAUAUUCCUUUAUGGAUGUAUCGCACAAAUUUCAGUUAUUGGAUACGAAAUGUAGGUUCUCUAUUCAGAGCUGGGUCCGGGUCCAAUGAUAUGUAGUCCCCUUUUCCAAGCUAAUGUAUAUGCUAUCCUAUUUAAUAACAAUUCUGACGCACACACACUCAUUUCAGAUUAUCAAACUAUUAUGUGUGCAAAUUCUACACUUCUCAAAGCUAACUCCCGUAGACAAGAUAAGAAAAAAGAAUAUGGGCGGUGUUCUACGUAAAAUUUGCCAUCCUAUUCUAGAUGUGCAGAGUCAUCGAGUGACAUAUCCUAAUUUCAUAUUGUGCCUUGCAGAUUUUCCUGUCAGUGUACCCAGCUGUCACUACCUGUCCCUUUUUUUUACUUCGAUGCUCAUUAUUUGCGUCCACUAGCAGCUAUAGCUCCCAAAUAUGAUUUGCGUCGUCUCAAUUUGGAGUGGACUUGUUCGUUAGUGCAGCUAGCUAGCAUAUUUUUGAUAAUAUGGAUCGACACUGUACUCUUGGUUGUUAAUUUAGCUACCUAAUUUGUUCUAAAUAGAAGUUUACAAAGUUGCAUGCCAUCAAGAUUGUAGCCAAUUAACACGCAUGCAUCUAUAUGACUCUUCAGCCGGUCCUUUUAGAGUCUUGGAACAUGACAUUCUCUUCUUUUAAACAAGUGUCGAGUGUUCAUAUUUGCUACCACAAAAUAUCGUGGGAACCGCUAGCAUGUGUACGAAGACAAAUAAUUCUCGAGGCACUGGCAUGAUUGAAGGAAAAGAGGUUCUGUGACUCAAGGUUGGGUCGCCGUGUGUAUAUUUAUUUAUGUAUUCAUAUCCAUGCUUGUGCGGUUUCCUCUAUUUUCGGUAGCCAGUCGCAUGCCUUCUCCUUAUUUGCUUUGUCAAUGUUCGUGUGUGCCCAACUCAAUUGUUGCUGCAUUUAUGUAUGUGCUUUCUUAUGUGGCAGAUAAACUCUUGCUUUAAUAUGUGCACUUCCAGGUUUGACGCAGUACAGCGUGGGGGAGGCGGUGUCCUCUGCAGCUAGGUCUACUUGCUGGCGACCUCACCAUCACCAACCCAUCUGCAGGUAUGCUAGCUCCUCUUCUAUUAAUGCAAAAAGGAGAUGCUCAAAUGGAUUGAGUGGUACCCUCCUGAAAGUAUUGUAGGGAUGGACAUAUGGAUUGAUUGGUAGCCCCCUGAAAGCUACACAGAUCUGAACCAAUAACUUUAAUAAGAAUGUGUAUCCCAGCUCCUUUUAUAAUCUUGAAUCCUUCUCGGUCCUACUAAACUGUAACUCAUGUUUCUUUUGGGAAACAAUAUUUUGGACAUAUACUAAUUAAGGUAGCUACAUGGGGACCUUUUGUUCUGGCCAGAUUUGAUGAUUUCUCUCAAUAUACUGCUGGCGAUGUAGUUGGCAAUGAUUGGGUGGGCGGUUCUUCGCAUUGCAUUCUGUUUUUAAGUUUGGACAAUUGGCUGCUAAUUUAUCAUGUGAAUAUGUUCUCUCUCUGCAGAUGAAGAUAGCAAAUAUUUGUUAUAUUCUUAUCCAAUCAGUUCACACCAUUGUUGUGUCCAACAGAAGAUUCAAAACUUUCAAGCUCCUUUUUUUGUUGCUAGCCAUGAAGGUGAUACUUUAGUAAAAGGUGCAUACAGUACUAACAUUUUGCUAUCUUUAUGCUCCUCCAUAUGGAUGGGAACUAAAAGGAUGAUGAUAUUAUUCUACCUUUCAAUAUUUGGUGGCGCAUAUUUAAGAAAAUCACAGCUAAGCAUGUCACUUUCUAGAAAGGCGCUUGACUGGAACGUAUAUGUAUAUAGUUAAUAAAAUCAUAGUGACUGAUUUUUCAGUUCCUCUAUUUAGAUUAGAGGUGUCUGCAUGCAUAUUAGCCAAGUGAUCGGUCUUUCCAGCUCAAAAGAGAAAGUGACCGAUGUUUUGGCCUAUUUUCCUAUUAGGAAUAAAUGGAUAUGCCCAUGCACGUAUGCACACAGAUUUCAGGUUACAGUGUAAUUAGGAAACAGAUGAUACCUCAUUCUGUCGUCUUGGUCUGAGAAGAGGGGAUAUACUUGGUGAAUAUAUAUGUUCCACCCGACCAUUAAUUUCAGAGAAAAGGACAUGCACUUCAGUAGCAAAAAUUUGAUUGUUAUGUACUAUCUGUAAUGCUAAGCAUUUAUUUUGCUAAUAUCUCCUCAUCUGAAUUUGUAUUUUGUGCCAUUUGGACUUUUAACUAUAUGGGCAUCUGCAGAUGGUCUGAAAACCAAGAUAUGCCAGAGGUAAUAACUAUACGGGCUGCUCCAGAUGGACCAAGAAUGGAACCAUAUCUCCUCGCGCUGCUGCUAUAGUUAUCUCAUACAGAAUGGAACCAAGAUAUGCCAGAGGUAAUAACUAUACGGGCUGCUCCAACCCAAACAAGCAAAGAGCUCACCCUUUCUAACCAAACGCCACAGCAGCAGCGCGAGGAGACAUGACAGCAAAGCAGUCGCAGCAGCCCUACAAGUGAUGUUUGUGCUUUCUGUUGCACAUCUGUUAGUUUAACUCCUUGUUUACCUGUCCUCAAUUCAUGCUGCUACCAAAAAGCCCAUAACCAAUUAAUUUUGAAUCAUUCUAACAGUAGUGUUGCUUUGUUGGACACAUAUAGUAAACGAUUUCAUUCAUCUUUGAAUGCCACCUGCAGCUGGUACCAUAGCCUCAAAGGAGAUCACAUGGCAGCAAAGAAGCUUUACCGUAUAAUAGAUAGCAACUUGACGGCUGGAUCAACAUCCAAAGACAAUGAUCUGAAUCAUAUAUUGUCGCAAGUAAGAUAUGUUGCUGAUCAUCUCAAUGAUACAACCACGCAAUCAGAGUAUGGACUCCAACAAACAAACAAGUGCUACUGGAGCCUGGAUGAUGAUGUUGAAGGAAUUUCUGUGUUUACUCCUUUUUUAAUGCAAGUUUACUGCUACUCGGAGUUCCUAAUCGCAGACUCAACUAUCUUGACCUACGUACCGAUGAUCUAA